CAAAAGACCAUAAACCUGUAGCAGCAGCUGCAGAUCGAGAGCACCCAUUCUCCCAGGAUUGCGCAGUUAUUCAAAGGAGUCUCUGUUCUCAUUCAGACCAUCGCUUCAUCAUCUUUGUCCACAGCUUUUCUGCUCCACUUUGUCCUGAUUUUCUCCCUGAACUGGUGUGCCGUCUCCCCGUCAGUGCACAGCUGCUGCUGGCACUCCCACAGCUGCUUGUUUCAGCUCGGCGGCCAUGAAGAGGACGCUGAGCUGCUGAGAAGCAGGAGACUCGGUGUGAGAAGAGACCUUCUUUAUGUGGCGCAGGCAGAUAAACGCGCUGGGGAUGCGCAUGUUGAACAGCUUGCCUCCAGGAUGGAAGGGGAAAGAAGCCAUGAUCUCCUCACACCCUUUAUGAUGCAGGUGGAACCUGAAGAUCUUUGGUGAGGUGUGUCAUAUCAGCUGGAGUCACUGCUUGAGCUGCUGAUACCAAACAGGACCUGGGAGGAGCCAUCAUCAGGGCAGGUUAUGUGUUAUCUUUGUUAAAAUAGCUAAAGGAGGGCAUUCUUUAUUGGUCAAUUGCUAUUUAUCAUUAUAUAUAUAUAUUUUUUUUUUCAUUAAGGUGUAGUUAAAUGCUCUAAUAUGAAAGAAUAAAAUGCAGCAUCUAUAGGAACCUGAUCCUUUCGGAGAUGUUUAUAGGACAGCUGAGUUGCGUUCCACUUUUCUGCUGCUUUGUCUCGUGUGUCCCUUCUCCAGUUACACUGAUGAAAGAAAGCAGAUUUGGAGUCAACAAGACCCCAUUAUACCCCAGCUGACGCUGCUCCACCUCCUGCUCUCUGCUGCCUUACGGAACGUGGCUGUGACUCGGUGCCGUUGGAGCCAUGCUGCUCCCACAGAGGGAAUAUUUUCUUUUUAGAUUGUUUCACUACCAAGAGAUGACUUCCGCUGCUGCUUCAUCGGCAGAAAAGAAAUAACCAUGCAGCCGUUGCAGUGUCAUCAUUAUCUGUUUAAUCACUUUUAGCUGGAAGGCACUUCAUUGGAAAUCAUUUGCUGCUCUUUUAAAUGCUUUGUUUUAUAGCUUUAAUCAAACCCUUUCUUAUUUCCAUUUCUUUGGAUCAGAAAUUACCUUUUGUGAAUUUUUUUUUUUAUUUGAAAACCAGCUUGAAGUGUUGCCAUAUUCAAACCGAUGAAGUUUUUUUUUUUUUAUAUAUAGUUGAGGCCUGUAUGAACAAAAAUAUGUGCCAGUGUGUGAAAAUGGCUGAUGUUCCCACCUUCUAAAAAUGUGUAAAUCACACAUUUCUGUUUGUUGUGAAAGCUCCCAAGUUUAAUGUGAAACCAACUAUUUUUACUAUACUACAGCUCUGUAGUGUGAGUGUGAGUGUGGGUGAGUGCAUGUGUUUCUCUGCAUGUGCUCCAUUCGUGUUUAUGGCAGUGUGUUUGCACGUGUGUCUCAUCGGUCCGAUAAGAUGUAUCUUUAAUGGGCGCGAAACUGCAGCUACAAUCCUUUUUAACCACUGGAUGUACAAGAUAAGGGAUAAAACAUUAUUUACUGAUGAUUCUUAGCAUUUGUAACAACCUCAUUAAAGCAGCAGUCCUACUUGUGAUUUAGAUCACAAGGAUGUUAUUGGAAAUUUGUUGGGUGCCGUUUUCUGAAUGAUGCCUGCUGGCAUACACCGAACCCUUUCUGUGCCAGCAGCCCCAUCAUUUAACACUUAAGCAAAUUAAGGCAAAUGCUAAUAAUGAUGUGUAAAUAGCCUUUUACCCACGCCUUGAUUGCACUAACAG